rnacentral:rRNA from 1 species
AUGACUCCCUCACCCUGGCUAGGGUUCCUAGCCCCUCCUCCUCAGCCGCCGCUGCAUGUUCCUCGCUGGCCUCGCCCGGGCGCCUCCCGGACCUCGCCGGGAGAAGCCAGCCAGCGCCGUUCCGACCUCCUCCUUAAGCCCCUCCCCCAUCUCAUCUCCUCUCCGGUCGCUGCAGAGGAGCCCCGUUUCGCGCCACCACCAUGGUUGCCUGCAGAGAGCAGCAGAGGACCUAGCCCUCGCGUCCGACCGCAACCGCCGCCUGAAACCCUAGCCCCUCCUUCCAACUGCAGGUCAAGCCAGCAGGAUCCCCUCCAAGAAGAGCAUUUGAUGCGUGAGUGCAUCCCCUUCUCUUCUUCUUCUUCUUCUUCUUCUUCUCGAUUUGAUGUGUGUGUGCGUGCUGUUGUGUGCAGGCCCGACUCAUCUCUGCUUGUGCACAACAAGGAAGGCCAUGGACCGCGAACCUGCUCGACCUGCUCGACCUCCUCCUCACGCCGCCUCGGCCUCCCGGCCCUUGUCGCCGUUGGUCGCCCUCCACGGGUUCUGACGUGCCGUCGCCAACCGCCAGAGAUGCCACCUCCUCAACGCACGAUAUAA